AAUUUGUGCAUUCCCAACUGAUUAUACAAACUUUGCGUUUCAGACUCAUUGUCCACGAUCGAUUCACUUGUACUUUCUACAUGCAAGGACGACGACUCCUCUUCCCAAGCGGUGCUAGCAGCGUCUCCACUACGCCCGCCAACACCAUCAGCCUCCAGCUGCACGACGACACCGCAGCGUGUGUUAACGGGCAAGAGGAAACGGAGCCUGCACCAUCAGGAACAUCUUGCUGCAUUAAGAGAGAUGCAGGUGGCAGACAUUGAGCAGCAGGAGCUGAACCGUGCCCAGAGGGAGCGCCACUUGCAGAUGGCACUGGAAGAGGCCAAACAAGCGAGGGAGCAGGAAGCGGCCUUGAGGGCAGAGGAACACUCUCAGACGGCAGCUUUCAAUCAAGCAUUCCUCAAUGUUAUGGGGAUGCUUGUCCAGGCAAUGAGCGGCCGACGGGAAUAGAACUCUCUUGCUGACUAAUGCCAUAGCUACACAUGUCGUUCCCGAGCUGCCAGUGAUCCAGACUCCC